UCAAAGGUAUGAAAGGUGGAGAGAAAGGUUCUCUCUUAUGCAUGAAAAAUUGAGAAGAAAGGGUUCUUCUCUUGAUCUCUAUUGUAGAGAUCCGAUGCAUAGAUCUAGGAAGAGAAAGAGAGGGUCUCUUUAUUCUUCAUCUUCAUCAUAUUCCUCUUCGAUCAGUCAAAGGAUGGUGUCUUCAUGAGCUAGCACUUUCGAAAAGAUCGAUCAGUAUAAGGACUUCAUAUGGAUACCCGUAGAGGUUGGACACGUGUGCGGCUGCCAAGCAUCAUGAAGAACCAUUUAUCAUAGAUUUCAUAUGCGGUGAUCUACUACCCACGCUUAGUUAUGAAGUUUUAAAUUCAAUUAAUAUUUAGAUAUAAUCUAAAU
rnacentral:lncRNA from 1 species